rnacentral:rRNA from 1 species
AAUGAGUGAUGGCGUGCCUUUUGUAGAAUGAACCGGCGAGUUACGAUUGCAUGCGAGGUUAAGUCGAAGAGACGGAGCCGCAGCGAAAGCGAGUCUGAAUAGGGCGAAUGAGUAUGUAGUCGUAGACCCGAAACCAUGUGAUCUACCCAUGUCCAGGUUGAAGGUGCGGUAAAACGCACUGGAGGACCGAACCCACGUACGUUGAAAAGUGCGGGGAUGAGGUGUGGGUAGCGGAGAAAUUCCAAACGAACUUGGAGAUAGCUGGUUCUCUCCGAAAUAGCUUUAGGGCUAGCCUCGGAAUUGAGAAUGAUGGAGGUAGAGCACUGUUUGGACUAGGGGCCCAUCUCGGGUUACCGAAUUCAGAUAAACUCCGAAUGCCAUUCAUUUAUAUCCGGGAGUCAGACUGCGAGUGAUAAGAUCCGUAGUCGAAAGGGAAACAGCCCAGACCACCAGCUAAGGUCCCAAAAUAUAUGUUAAGUGGAAAAGGAUGUGGGGUUGCACAGACAACUAGGAUGUUGGCUUAGAAGCAGCCACCAUUUAAAGAGUGCGUAAUAGCUCACUAGUCGAGUGACCCUGCGCCGAAAAUGUACCGGGGCUAAACAUAUUACCGAAGCUGUGGACUACACCAUUAGGUGUAGUGGUAGGAGAGCGUUCUAAGGGCGUUGAAGGUCGAUCGUGAGGACGGCUGGAGCGCUUAGAAGUGAGAAUGCCGGUAUGAGUAGCGAAAGACAGGUGAGAAUCCUGUCCACCGUAUGACUAAGGUUUCCUGGGGAAGGCUCGUCCGCCCAGGGUUAGUCGGGACCUAAGCCGAGGCCGAUAGGCGUAGGCGAUGGACAACAGGUUGAUAUUCCUGUACCAGUUGUUUUUGUUUGAGCAAUGGAGGGACGCAGUAGGCUAAGGAAUGCAUGCGAUUGGAAGUGCAUGUCCAAGCAAUGAGUCUUGAGUAGAGUUAAAUGCUUUACUCUCUAAGGACAAGUUGUGACGGGGAGCGAAAUAAUAGUAGCGAAGUUCCUGAUGUCACACUGCCAA